GACAAGCCUUUCUCCAGGACAUAAAGAAAAUUGUGGCACUUUGGGUUUUCAAGACGCCGCCUCGCGUAGGACUACGGACAUGGGAUGCUCGGUCGAGUUUUUCUUAACUCGUCAGGAUUCUCAUGCUGCAAAUUUAGUAACGGGGCAAAUUUUUGGGUGUCCUGAUGUGUUUGCGGAUUGAUGAAAAUUUGGCGAGGGAGAUCAUAAACCAUCGCUAGCUGCAGCACAUCAAUUGUUGAAUUCGUUUGAAGGAGCUGUCAAUUGUUGAAUUCGCUUGAAGGAGAUGGAGCUCGUUUGGCUGAAUUUGCUACUGACUUGCCACAUUUUGAGGGCCUGCAAUUGAAGAAUACAACACUUGAGAUAACAAUUGAAGAAUACUAGAGUAAUAAUAACUACUGCAAGAGUGAUGUACUUUCUUUUUGUUGGAGAUUUUCUGCAUCUUUUAUGGACGGUAACAUUUGAGAUAACAAUUUGAUGUGCUAACCAUCAAGAUCAACUUCGACAUGUUUGGUCUCUAAAAGUUACUAUUGACCAUCAUUGGUGCAUCCUAUAAGGUAUAGUCAGUACUAUGAGUAACUUACCAGACAUUGACUGUAGAAGUUGCUAUCCAACUCUUGUGAAAUCUAACCAUGUUAUUCAUUUACGAUACCUAUACGUAUGUGGUACACAAUCUGAAAUAGUAGAAGGGGAAAAUAAAGCAUUAAUGUGGAGUAUGUUCCAAUGGAAAUCUUCAGGAACACCUUGAAGGUCUGAGUGCAAUUUUUCUUUAGUUCUCUGUGAGCUUAAAAAUGCAACUGAUGUGGCCCAUGCAACUGAAAUUAAAAACAUGGAGAAGAAUCAUAAAAGAUCUCGCUGAAAAUGCCCUCGUUCUGCACUUCGUGUGGACAGGCAGCACCCUUUACCUUCGAAGUCUCGAAAAAUGGUCUGGGUGAUGCGGGUGCCUCAAUGCUUGAUGCCAUGUUCUGUAAGAGGCCAAGGCAAAAUGGAUAAGUCUGUAACUGGAACUCUGGAUAGUUGAUCCUCUGAAUGGCGAAAAAUUUAUCAAAGUUGCUGAGAUUCAGGGGUCUGAAAUUAAGCCAUUUGUGGAUAGUUUAUCUAAAUGCCCAAAACCCACUUAGAGCUCCAGAGAGGUCUUGUUUUCUUGUACUAUGGAUUUAAGGUGAUUCUCAAGAGGAACAAGUCGCCAUGGACCGAUGAGAUCGAGAGACGGCUCCACGGUUGCGUGGAGUGGCGGCUGAGAGGAGAGGCAAUAACAACUCGUUGUCCGUGACGGCCCGAGCGUUUGCGAGAGGGGAUGGAGCGGGGGUUGCAUCGUCACGGCCAGUUGCCAGAGUGGGUGGAGUGGUGGCCGCACGGACGCGCUCCUAGAGGUGCCGGUAUGCACCCUGAUUUUGAGCCUGGGAGGUUCCUUGCUCUGCCCUAUCCUCAAGGGUGUUCAUCUACUUUGGUAUCGUGCUCUGGAGUCAGGACGAUGCACUAAUGCAGGUUUGAUUCUUUACUUUUUCUUUUGUUUUAUUUGUAUACAUAUCCCUGAAUUUUGUGAGCCGUGAUUUAAAUGUUGUCGUGUGUGCCAUUGUCUCCUAUAUAAUUAUUCUAUUGAAGCACCGCUGCAACCCAGUUUGUUUAUCAAAUUGAUGCAAGAAACAAACUAAUACAUAGAGAGUAUAAAUUUAUUGCAUUAAUCUGUAUAUCCCUGCACCUACCGAUAGGUAGAGAUGGAUAAAUUUUGUAGCUUUUUGAUCCCGGUUUUUCCUAUUGAAAUUAUGGAUUUGGAAGCUAAUCAUGGAGUGUUUCGAUUGCCUGCUUACGGAAUCGCAAUAAGCACAAGUCUGCAACCUUGAAGGAAAACCCGUUGCAACUGAUGACAUAAUAUUACGUUGCAACAAGAAUGUAUAGAGCUGCAGAGCUCUGUGGAUCCUUCUCUUCACAAAAGGCGAGAAGCGGAGGCGUGUGCCUAGAGUAGCGGACCAUGAUGGAUUGAUGAGCUGAUGUCACGUGACGUACUCACGCGGCGGUUGUUUAGGCUCCGGCGGCUGGAGCCAUCAUCGACCAUGAUGCCGCGCCAGGAGCACAAGGGCUAAGACGAGGACAUGUUGGUGCCGAUGAAAUAAGGUUUAUUGGGUCGUCCUCUUCCAGCAACAUAUUACACAAUCUAUUUAAGCCGAUUGAUUCUCUUUGGUACAAAUGUCCCUCAUUUAGUUGAUGAAACUCUACCUUAAUAAAAUUAAUUGAGUUGGGAACCAUAACAUAUAUACAUCUAUGACUGGUAUCUAUUUGGCUAUAUUAAACUGACAAUUUAUUCUUCUUACCGGAAGGAUAUGUCGUGAAGAUGAUUAAUUCUACAAACUAUACUGCUAAUUCAUCGGAAAUGACUACCAACUUGUUUAAUUCCGCAUGUGCAGGUGCUGCCGGUUGAUGGGGGCCUAACCAUGAGUCUAACUGAAAGUGAACGGGAGCGAUGUGCAGAAAAAAAUCUUAGCACAUAGGCUGAAUUUGUAUAGUACUUCGAAUUUAUUAGGCAGUACCCCCUCCAUUUGUAUAUCACUUCCGAAUACAAGUUCAGGUUAUUAGGCAGUACUAUUGAAUUUAAGGAUUGAUACUUGAAGAUUUUAAAAGGUUACUAAAUUUUGUACCAAGUCUACUGUUAUGUAUGGGAAGAACAUGCGCUAAAAUAUUGAUAAUGCAAAUGAAAGUGAUCGUUUGAUUAUUAAA